AGUAACACGUAGGGAACCUGCCCAUGCGGCCGGGACAACUUCCGGAAACGGAUGCUGAUACCGGAUAAGGAAAGCGAAGGCAUCUUUGCUUUGUUAAAGGAGCUGCAAGGCUCCGCGCAUGGAUGGACCUGCGGUGCAUUAGCUGGUUGGUGAGGUAAAGGCUCACCAAGGCGACGAUGCAUAGCCGGCCUGAGAGGGUGAACGGCCACAUUGGGACUGAGACACGGCCCAAACUCCUACGGAAGGCAGCAG
rnacentral:rRNA from 1 species